GCAGUAUUCUUGCCUGGAGAAUCCCAGGGACAGGGGUGCCUGACGGGCUACAGUCCUUGGGGUCACAAAGAGUCAGACAUGACAGCGACUUCCACUCACUCUCAAUUGAGUUGGUCAUUGCAGUGGGUCACUGAGGCCCCAUCCUUCAAGCGCCUCUGAGGAACCGUGUGGAAUACACCGGGGAAUGGUCUGCUCAAGGGACAGUGGAGGAGACCAGAGCAAGAAACCAGUGCUUCUGGGUUCUCCCGCAUGACCUCAACUCCCUUACACUUCCGGGUCGGUGCGUGUGUUCAGGAACAGUGAGUGGCUCACAAGGGGUCCUUGGCCUUGGAACUGAGGAGCAAGACAAGGGUGAAAAGCAAGGAACUGCAGGUGGAGAUGCUGUCAGGCCUCGUCUGUGCAAAGCUGGGCCCCAGCAGUGACUAGUGCAAAAAAUCUGGAGAAUUUGGCUUAUUAGAGGACUGAGCAGUUCAUCUAGAUUUUAAGCUGAAAUGUCCAAGACAGCUUUAGUCUUUAAACAACAUAGGAAUAUGUAGAAGAGUUUAAUCAUCAUCUCGAUAAAUUUUAUUAGAUUUCUAAGAAUUUCUUAGGUACUUGGAAAAGUUGUUCGGUUUGCCAGCCACUGACUUACUUUAAAAAGGAAAUUGAGUGUGCUGGCUUUAUCAGUACAGCUAAAAAUAUUUAAAGGAAUUCAAUUAAAUUAUGAAAGUGUUCUUAAAAUCAUUUGUGAAAAUUUGAAAGAUUUAUAAAUAGAACUUAUUUCUAAAUUGAACUUAAAAACUUCAAGAAAACCAAGGCUUUGAAUUACCUGAGUAUUAACUUUAAGUACAAAGUAGCUCCUGAAUAUUCUUUUCAAUACAAAAAAGCCACUCCUAAAGACCAAAAAAAAAAAAUUCCUAAUUACAUCUUUCCAUCCUAUGGAAAUCAUCAUUCUUUUCUACACUGUUGAUCAUCUGAAAAGUGAGUUCUUCAAACAUGGGAUUAAAUAGAACAUAUCCUUGUAAUUUGCAACUUAACUUUUAUUUCGGUUGGGGUUUUCUGGUUGCAAGCAACAGAAAGCAAUUUUGGCAAAGCAAAGGGCAUUUACUGGAAGAGUUCUGGGGAGCACAGAGAAUCAGUGAAAAGGCUGGGAUGCGGUCUCUGAAAUGGAUCAGCAUCAGGUUUGAUCAGUUAUCUAAGCAGGGUGAGUGGACUCUGCCCCAGGCAGAUUAAGUUGCAGGUAUCAGACACUACUCUGGCUUUCAUCUGCAAAAAAAAAAAAAAAAAAGGAUUUAAUACUGGGGGCAGCGUGCUUCCAAGAUCCAUGGACAGGCCAGAGGAGUGGGCUGUAGAACACCAUCAGAAGCCUUGCCUGCCAAGGGAGCGCUAAUUUCACCACUGCCAGGACUUGGAGCUGUCCCUCCUCACCUGUAGCCUCACUUCCUUGGCUGCAGAGCUUCCAAGUUCCCUGCAGGUCUCUCCUGGUGCUGGGAUGACUGACACUCAAGCCACUUUCUCCCACCUUGCCCUGGAGAGUCAUCCUCAGCACCUGGGGCCAGACCAGUGUGACCAGUGUCCUUAGCUCAGGCCCGGCUUUGUUGGGAUUGAUUCAUUGCUGCAGAACAACUCUAUUGACACUGCAGGAUGUAAAGCAAUGACCACAUGAUGUCACGGAAAUGGUGGGCAGGCAAUGCAGAAGGGCACAGGCCUCCUUGGCUCUGCGGUGCCUGGGGAGACGUCCAUGGCUGGACUCUGGAGGCCAGAAGUCUUCUUGGCUCACCUACCAGGUCUCUCUCUGAAGCAUGGGCGUGGCGGGGGCUGCCAUCCAGAGCUUGCCACAUGGUCUCUCGGGGAUGUCAUCUUAGGAGAGUGGGAUUUCACGCAUGGAAGCUCAGUUCUCCAAGGACACAGGUUCCGAUGAGCAGGAUGGAAGUCCACGGUCAAGGUGCCGCAGGUUGGGUGUCUGGUGAGAACCCACUUCCUCACAGAUGGCCCUCUGCAAGCUCAGAAGACGGCUCAAUAGGGAGGCACAGGUGCUUUUAGUUGAAGGGCUGUAGUAUUUCGUUUUCCUAGCUCUUGGCCCCAGUCUCUGGGCCUGACUCUAUACUCAUUCAUGGAGGGAAUAAGUGAAGUGAUUUAACGUUGUCCUGGUUUUGCAGGCCAGGAAACAGGCACUGAGGGAGGAGAGGUCUGACCUGAGCUGAGGGACAGGCGAUGCUUCAGAUGGGUACUUGCUCAUCACCUGUUAUCUCUACCUCCAGAUGUCUGCCGCUUUUAUUGUCUGGCUUCCCUCCUAGCUCAGUCGGUAAAACAUCCACCUGCAAUGCAGGAGACCCCGGUUCGACUCCUGGGUCAGGAAGAUCUGCUGCAGAAGGGAUAGGCUACCCACGCCAGCCUGGGCUUCCCUUGUGGCUCAGCUGGUAAAGAAUCCGCCUGCAAUGUGGGAAACCUGGGUUUGCUCCCUGGGUUGGGAAGAUCCCCUGGAGAAGGGAAAGGCUACCCACCCUGGUAAUUCUGGCCUGGAGAAUUCCAUGGACUAAAUAGUCUAUGGGAUUGCAAGGAGUCGGAACAACUUAGUGACUUUCACUUUCCCGUUUAUUGUCUGGGUUGGUUGGUUUAUUGUCUGAGGCCUGAGGAUCAUAUUCAAUCCACAGCCGCAAGAGCACUGAGGCUUCCUAAACUCAGCAUCUCUUUCUCCUC
ensembl:lncRNA